rnacentral:rRNA from 1 species
AGAGUUUGAUCAUGGCUCAGGAUGAACGCUAGCUGCAGGCUUAACACAUGCAAGUCGAGGGGAAACGACAUCGAAAGCUUGCUUUUGAUGGGCGUCGACCGGCGCACGGGUGAGUAACGCGUAUCCAACCUGCCCACCACUUGGGGAUAACCUUGCGAAAGUAAGACUAAUACCCAAUGACGUCUCUAGAAGACAUCUGAAAGAGAUUAAAGAUUUAUCGGUGAUGGAUGGGGAUGCGUCUGAUUAGCUUGUUGGCGGGGUAACGGCCCACCAAGGCGACGGUCAGUAGGGGUUCUGAGAGGAAGGUCCCCCACAUUGGAACUGAGACGCGGUCCAAACUCCUACGGGAGGCA